GGGAGAGAUCUCUUUUCAAGGAUAAAAGUGGAAGCUUAGGUUUAGGUAUGUUUAUUGGAUGGAUUGUGACAUUGAGUUGUUGAUUGAAGCUCUCAUAUUCAACCCAGACCUGCAGUGGUUUUCCACUUUUGAGAACUAGCUCUUUGAAAUGCCAAUCAUCACUAUGGUACCCAGCAGGAAGAGAUUUCACGGAGACCAAGCCAUUAAUAUCAAUCCCCAAAUGGUUAUCAUCUAUGUCAUCAAACUGGAAAUCUUG
rnacentral:misc_RNA from 1 species